AUUUAUUCUUUACUUGCAUUUUGGUAUUUACCUUUCUAGUUUUUUCCCUAUGCAAGUGUGGAUAUAUCUCUGUGUAC